rnacentral:lncRNA from 1 species
UUUUUGUUUUAUUAUUUGCCAUUAAUGGAAGGAGAAAUAAAAUAGAUAUAAGUAUUUGUUAAUUUCAUGCAACCCAUUUCAAAUUACACAGAAUGUCAUGGAAUGUAAGCUUAAUUACACAAGCAACCUUUGUAUUAAAAACAUCACUUUAUUACCCUCUAUAAACAUUUUAUGAAUCCGUUUAGUUUACAGUUAAAUUAAGAGGAAAUGAAAGGCAAGGAUAAACUACAAAGGAUUCCUUCUUCAUCUUUUAAACUGACUUCAUUAGAACCAUAAUUUAGUUCUAGGUAUAUCUGAGCAACCCGAGCGUAGAGAUAGGACAAAUCUACACUUGUAUUAUUCAGUCAAAUGUUGAAAAAAGUAGUGUUUGGCUUUUGAUGAAUAUUUAAUAUGCCAGAGAGCUCUCAAGAUUCCACUUUAGCAGUGAGAUCUGGAGCAGUUUUCAGCAGAGACUGAAUUGCUGAUCUGGCCCCCUGAGCUCCCUUUCCACUUUUUCUUCCUCUGAUAUUCCUUAAGUUGUAGAGAAGUAGAAAAAUACAACACCCUGUUGCCCAAACGGUCUCCUAUGUGUAUUGUAUAAAUGAAGACCAUUAGGAAAAGUACCCUGGGACUGAGAAACUCCCCGCUCUGGAGAAGUAGCCUGUUGUUGGCUUGAGGCCACAGGAGUAUGACUACCCAGCAAAGAUUUUUGACUCCCUGGUAAUGGCCUUAAGCCUUGAGAGCUUAACAGAAAUCCAACAUUUUUCAUACUGCAACAUGAAAUUUGGACCCAAUUUGAGCAAUCUGGACCCAUCUUUGCCUCUUAAUCAGCAUGAGUCAAUGUGGGACAAGAACACAGGGCUUUCACAGAGGACUGGUCUUAGUUUUUUCUGCAAUUCAGAGGACUGAGAAAAGCACUGGUUGGGAUGGUCUGGUGUGAUCAGCUGGAGAUUCUCUGGUUAAAGUGGAAAAUGGUGAACUUCUGGGCAAAAAAUCAGGAAAGAAUUCUAGAACCUCUGUCAAAAAUUGUUAAAAUAAUUAAAUCAUAUAUUUUAUUAUUUUUCAAUUACUUUAUUAGGGUAGGUGCACAGGUUUUUUGUUUGUUUUGUUUUGUUUUUCUGCUUAGCUUUGGUUUCCUAACAAUUCCAAAUUUCAGUUUCCUCUUUUGCAACGUUGACAUAUUUAUUAAGAGGUUAUUGUUAGGAGUAAAGUAAUCAACAUUUGUGAAAACAUUAUAUAGGUUUUAUAGAGUAAAACUGUAAAAUCUUAUAUUAAGGUUAGAUAUUACCCAAGUUCAGUGGCCAAUCUGUUGGCCAGAUAAGAAUCACUUGGAUGUUUGUUAAACCUUAUGUGUCAUACCUGUUUCCUCUCUUCCUUCCCCGUUAUGAUCCAUCCCUCUAGUGUCCUUCUCUUCUCUCUCAUUGAGUAAUCAUUACUUUAGUGAUCCACUGUUAUACUGUGUCUUGUAAGUUCUUCAGAGUAAUAAAAAGGGUGAAAGUAGCUGCCUUUAGCAGGAAGUGCUAGAAAGCCAUAUUUGUAUCCCUAGUGCUUAGAACAGUUAUCUGGCUAAAUAUAUAUUUAUUGAAUGGACAGUUUAAAUGAUAACACAGAGAUUACUACCAGAAAGGUGAACAUAUUUCUACUACGGUUGUACAUCUUUUAAAAACUUUAAAUAUACCUUAACUAUAGCUCUGAAAGAAAAAAACAGAAUAGGAUAAAUUCUUCAACAUGAUCAAAAUACAAGCCAUUCAUAUCAAAAUUCAACAAGUUCCUAGUGGUAAAAUGCAAGAAUUCCUCUUUUAAAAAAAUCCAUGGAUAUCAGUCAUCAAGUUCUUCUAUAAUAUACCAUAAUUUUGAAUGUGCUGGCCAAAGCAGUAAGUCAAGAAAGUAAAAUAUAGUCAUAAAUAUUAGAAAGAAGGAGACAAACAUUGUAAAGGUUUUAGAAAGAAUAAGAGAGCUUACUAAGCUUAGUAAUUUAUAAAAUGAUGCAAAAAUCACUAGUCUUCCCAUAUACCAAAUACCACACAAAUAUUAUUGCAGCAUAUAAUGGAAAAAUAUCACAUUCACAAAGGCAAAUGAAACAUAGAUAGAUUACCUGAGGAUAAACUUGGAAAGAAAUGUGCUGGAUUUCUAUUAAGAAGACUGUAAUGCUCUUCAGAGGAAUGUAAAGGAAGAUGAUUAAAUGAAGAACCAGAUUUUAUUCUUACAUCAGAAAUCUCGACAAAUAUGUCUAUUAACUCUAAAUUAAUCUUGAAAUACAGUAUACCUGUAAUUAAAUUUCCAGUACUUUAUUUUGUGGGUGUUGGGUGUGUUGAACAUUGCUUUAAAAAACAUUUAGAAUCAUCAUACAUGACUAAUCUACAUAGUUCAGGAUAUAGAAGGUAACUCUUUUCUGCUUGAGCAAUAAUAUGUAUGCUAAAGCUACAGCAACUAAAACAAUGCUGUGGUGAUGCAGGAGGAAGCAUCCAAGUAAACAGAACAGAGUACAAGUAUGGACACAAAUUUUUAUAUAAAAUUAAAUUCAUGAAUAUGCAAAUUAAAAUAUAAAUAUGGUAGCAUUUCAAGUAACAGGGAAAGGAUACAUUAUUAAAUAAGCAGAUUGAAGCAACUGGUGAUCCAUUUUAGAAAAAGAAAAAAGCUAGAAUCCCGUUUCAUAUUUCAUUGUCUGCCAAAAAAUAAAUUUCUAAUAGAUCAUAUAUCUAAAUUUUAAGAAGAGAUUAUAAAAAUGUAUAAGUGAUUAUUUCCACAAACCUAAGAUAGUUUCUAAAUAUGACACAAAACUAAAGAUCAGAGGAUAAGAGAC